rnacentral:rRNA from 1 species
GACGAACGCUGGCGGCGUGCUUAACACAUGCAAGUCGAACGGACAGGCCCUGCUUUUGUGGGGUGCUCGAGUGGCGAACGGGUGAGUAACACGUGAGUAACCUGCCCUUGACUUUGGGAUAACUUCAGGAAACUGGGGCUAAUACCGGAUAGGAGCUCCUGCUGCAUGGGGGGGGUUGGAAAGUUUCGGCGGUUGGGGAUGGACUCGCGGCUUAUCAGCUUGUUGGUGGGGUAGUGGCUUACCAAGGCUUUGACGGGUAGCCGGCCUGAGAGGGUGACCGGCCACAUUGGGACUGAGAUACGGCCCAGACUCCUACGGGAGGCAGCAGUGGGGAAUAUUGCACAAUGGGCGGAAGCCUGAUGCAGCAACGCCGCGUGCGGGAUGACGUCCUUCGGGUUGUAAACCGCUUUCGCCUGUGACGAAGCGUGAGUGACGGUAAUGGGUAAAGAAGCACCGGCUAACUACGUG